CCAUCUUUAUCGCUAGGUCCUAAGUGAGUUUUUAAACAAAAUAGUCUAUUUAUUUAAAUCAAAACAAGAUAAAAAUGGGCUUACCGAUCCUUAACUAAGGUUUUCUGGAACCGGUUUUGAAGUGGGUUUUUCCACCACGUGUCAGCAAAAAAAGACACAAGACUUUUUUUUCUUUUUUCUUUUCUUUUCUCUUUUGUUUCCUCGUCUUCUCCGUCGAAACUUCUCAACUCUUCCCAUACAGAAGACGAGGAAGUUGGCUGGAGCUAGCUCUUUCAAGACGUUGAAGGAGAUCGAGAUCUCGUGGAUGUUUUGUUGUGGGGUUAUGGUGAAGGUCGCGUAGUGGACGAUGGCUUGGAGCUGGAUCGGUGUCGCUGAGUAAUCAGCCGCUGCGGCCACCGAUCGGCUUUUGGCGCUUGCGAUGGAGCAGAUGAAAAAACGCGUCGUCGGCUUCACCAAUUCUUAAAGAGAAAUUGAAGCUUAAAGCAGCAAGUGAAUACAAUUAUUUGAACCAGAGCAACUGCUUAACAAUUGAUCGCAUUGAUGAUUCUCAGAAAUUUCACAAAUUGAUGGUAGAGAUGGCUUUGUUAUUGUAGGAAGCUUUCAACACUGUUCAGAUUCCUCAAGAAUAUCAAGAACGUGCAUUAGCACUGCUUGCAGCUGUAUUAUGGUAGGGAAUGUAUCUUUUGAAGUCAUUGACAAUGAAAACCAUGUGGACGUGGUAGCAGAUGAAGCUGUCACUAACGUAGCUAUGUUAAUGGGAUGCGACUGAAAAGAGCUUAUGGUGGUUUUGUCUACAUGCAAGCUCCAAGCUGGUAGAGAUUGCAUUGUUAAAAGACUGACACUGCCACAGGCGACUGAUAUGAGGGAUUCCCUAGCAAAAUCAUCUAUGCUAGCCUCUUCAACUGGCUUGUUGAGCAAAUAAACACUUCACUAGCUGUGAGUUGUCCAUCUUUCCAUCUACCAUCUGCGUUGACUUGCUUGUAAGUUGCUCCUUCUGAUCACCACUUA